GGAUGCCUUGGCGAUAUCAGCCGAAGAAGGACGCGGUAAGCUGCGAUAAGCUACGGAGAGGUGCAAGCAACCUUUGACCCGUAGAUUUCCGAAUGGGGGAACCCGGCAGUGGUUAUGCACUGUCACCCAUACCUUUGAGUAUGAGGAGGGCACCUGGGGAACUGAAACAUCUAAUUACCCAGAGGAAGAGUAAUCAAACGAGAUUUUCUUAGUAGCGGCGAGCGAACGGGAAAGAGGCCAAACCGGAGCGGGCAACCGCACCGGGGUUGAGGACAGUCAUCAAGUGUAAAUGAGGUAGAAGAAUCGAGUUGGAAAGCUCAGCCGCAGAAGGUGAAAGCCCUGUAAUCGAAACCUUGCAUACAUGGGACUGUAUCCAGAGUACCACGAGACACGUGAAACCUUGUGGGAAGCAGGGGGGACCACCCUCCAAGCCAAAAUACUGAUAUCGACCGAUAGCGCAUAGUACCGUGAGGGAAAGGUGAAAAGAACCCCUGGCGGGGAGUGAAAGAGAACCUGAAACCGUAUGUCUACAAACAGUCGAAGUCUGUAUAUAUAUCAGGACGACGGCGUGCCUAUUGAAGAAUGAACCGACGAGUUACUGUUGCUAGCGAGGUUAAGUGGAAAACAUGGAGCCGCAGCGAAAGCGAGUCUGAACAGGGCGUUCAGUUAGUGAUAGUAGACCCGAAACCGUAGUGAUCUAUCCAUGGCCAGGUUGAAGCACAGGUAAAAUUGUGUGGAGGACCGAACUCGUGAGCGUUGAAAAGCUUUGGGAUGAGUUGUGGAUAGGGGUGAAAUGCCAAUCGAACACGGAGAUAGCUGGUUCUCCCCGAAAUAGCUUUAGGGCUAGCCUCGAGGUUGAGAGUAUAGGCGGUAGAGCACUGAUCGGGCUAGGGGCCAUACCGGUUACCGAACCUAGUCAAACUACGAAUGGCUAUACUUAUACUCGGGAGUCAGACAGUGAAUGAUAAGGUCCAUUGUCAAGAGGGAAACAGCCCAGAACACCGACUAAGGUCCCCAAUGUCAUACUAAGUGGCGAAGGAUGUGGAAUUUCCAAAACAACCAGGAUGUUGGCUUAGAAGCAGCCACCAUUUAAAGAGUGCGUAAUAGCUCACUGGUCGAGAGACUCUGCGCCGAAAAUGUCCGGGGCUAAAGUAUGAAACCGAAGUCGUGUCAUAUGCAGCAAUGUAUAUGGGUAGGGGAGCGUUCUCAUCGGAUUGAAGCAGUACCGUAAGGAGUUGUGGACUGGUGAGAAGUGAGAAUGUCGGUAUGAGUAGCGAAAAGAAUGGUGAGAAUCCAUUCCACCGAAAGCCUAAGGGUUCCUGAGCAACGAUCGUCGUCUCAGGGUAAGUCGGGACCUAAGCCGAGGCGGAAAAGCGUAGGCGAUGGACAACAGGUUGAAAUUCCUGUACCGGUGUGAAUCGUUUGAUCGAAGGAGUGACACAGUAAGGUAGGUCAGCACGCGAUUGGAAGUGCGUGUUUAAGCAUGUAGGUUGAGUUAUAGGCAAAUCCGUAACUCUAAAAGCUGAGAUGUGAUGACGAGCUGUUUACAGCGAAGUGAUUGAUCCUACACUGUCGAGAAAAGCUUCUAGGUAGAGACACAUCGCCCGUACCAAAACCGACACAGGUAGGCGGGGAGAGAAUCCUAAGGUGCGCGGGAAAACCCUCGUUAAGGAACUCGGCAAAAUGCCUCCGUAACUUCGGGAAAAGGAGGACUCAUGUAGUGUGAAGGGCAGUAACGCGUGGAGCAUGAAUGAGUGGCACAAGAGAGGCGCAAGCGACUGUUUACCACAAACACAGGUGCCUGCUAAAGCGAAAGCUGAUGUAUAGGUGCUGACACCUGCCCGGUGCUGGAAGGUUAAGAGGAGGGGUUAGACUUCGGUCGAAGCUCUGAAUUGAAGCCCCAGUAAACGGCGGCCGUAACUAUAACGGUCCUAAGGUAGCGAAAUUCCUUGUCGGGUAAGUUCC
rnacentral:rRNA from 1 species